rnacentral:rRNA from 1 species
GACGAACGCUGGCGGCGUGCUUAACACAUGCAAGUCGAACGGAAAGACCCUGCGUUUGUGCGGUUCUCGAUUGGCGAACGCGGGAGUGACACGUGAGUAACCUGCCCUUGACUUUCGGAUAACUUCAGGAAACGGGGGCUAAUACCGUAUAGGAUCUCCUGCUGCAUUGUGGGCGUUGGAAAGUCUAGGCGGUUGGGGUUGGACUCGCGGCUUACCAGCUUGUUGGUGGGGUAGUUGCUUACCAAGGCUUUGACGGGUAGCCGGCCUGAGAGGGUGACCGGCCACAAUGGGACUGAGAUACGGAGCAGUGGCCUACGGGAGGCAGCGGUGGGGAGUAUUGCACAAUGGGAGGAAGCGUGAUGAAGAAACGUCGCGUGCGGGAUGACGGCCUUCGGGGUGUAAACAGCUUUCGCCUGUGACGAAGCGUGAGUGACGGUAACGGGUAAAGAAGCACCGGCUAACUACGUG